rnacentral:piRNA from 1 species
UUGUUGUGUGUACAUUUGAUUUUCAUAAA